rnacentral:lncRNA from 1 species
UGUUUUUUUUUUGUUGCAACCGGUAUAUAUUUUUGCUGCAACAGGCGAUUUGUUUUGCUACACCCGUUUCAUGUUUUUCUACAUUCAUUCAUGGCCGAGUUGAGUUCCGGGAUGACAUCGCCUUUUCUUGCUGCAACCGUUGUAGUUUUUGCUACACCCAUCGAGGAAUUUUGCUACAUCCCCUUUUUUCCUCGUGGAGCUGCAAGCUCGACGGCGGUGUUGAGGAUUUUUUCCUGCAACCGUUGUCUUCAUUUGCUACGACCGACACGGGAAAAUGCUACAACGGGCAUCUUUGUUUUUUGCUGGAACGAGUCAAUCAUUGAUGAGGCGGAGCUGCAUCCAUGACAAAAAAAAGCUACAACUCGCAUGAUUUUUUGCUGGAACCAGCUUUAGCAUCGGUUAGCCAGAAAACACUAGUAGAUUUCCUACCACGGGUCAGCUUGGGGAUCUCCGGCGAGUGCGGGCAGCCAGAACGGCGAGCACGGACGGCCGGGGCGACGAGCGCGGGGCGGCGCCAUGGCCGGUGCGACGAAGNNNNNNNNNNGUCGAGGAAUUUUGCUACAUCCCCUUUUUUCCUCGUGGAGCUGCAAGCUCGACGGCGGCGAUGAGGAUUUUUUCCUGCAACCAUUGUCUUCAUUUGCUACGACCAACAUGGGAAAAAUACUACAACGGGCAUCUCUGUUUUUUGCUGAACGAGUCAAUCAUUGAUGAGGCGGAGCUGCAUCCAUGACAAAAAAAGCUACAACUCGCAUGAUUUUUUGCUGGAACCAGCUUUAGCAUCGGUCAGCCAGAAAACACUAGUAGAUUUCCUACCACGGGUCAGCUCGGGGAUCUCCGGCGAGUGCGGGCAGCCAGAACGGCGAGCACGGACGGCCGGGGCGACGAGCGCGGGGCGGCGCCAUGGCCGGUGCGACGAAGCACGGGCGGCGCCCUUGCCGGGGCGACAAGUGAUGCGGCGGGCAGCCGGGGCGACGAGCGCGGGCGGCGCCAUGGCCGGGGCGACGAGCGCCACAGGCGGCGAGGGCGACGAGCACGGCCGGUGCCAAGGCGGCAAGCGUGGGCUUCGUGGUCGCGCAUCCAUGGCGGCCUUGACUGGCUCGCUCCUCUCUCUCUAUCAUCAUCAACCUCUCCUUCCGCCUUGCUGGAUCAAGAAGGAGNNNNNNNNNNNNNNNNNNNNNNNNNNNNNNNNNNNNNNNNNNNNNNNNNNNNNNNNNNGGGGCGACGAGCGAUGCAGCGGGCGGCCGGGGCGACGAGUGCAGGCGGCGCCAUGGCCGGGGCGACGAGCGCCACCGGCGACGAGGGCGACGAGCACGGGCGGUGCCAAGGCGGCAAGCGCGGGCUUCGUGGUCGCGCAUCCAUGGCGGCCUUGACUGGCUCGCUCCUCUCUCUGUUUGCUGGAGACGCUGAAGACGAGGAUAAGGUAAGGAAAAAAUAGAAUAAGAAGUUGCGAUCUGAUGGUCUCGUGCAGCCAGAUCGGGCGGCUGGGGCAGACCGGCCGAAACUUUCGGCCGCACCGGCGCCCAGUGCUGCCCCACCUUUAAAGGUGCCUGUGGAAUUAUACUCGUCGUGUAUGGUUGGUUUACCACCACUGCACGCUAGGUACUUACUUAGGUAGCCAGCUUGGGCUAUAUAUACGGUCGGUCCGAUACGUGCAAGGUGCAACAGCGCACCACAGAUCAGUCAGUGCAACGAACUCAUUUACGUACGAUCCUAGCUAGAGCUUGGACGAGGAUGUGCAACUGCGGUACGGUAGGACCUUCAGCUACGACCGGCAGCUGCACAUCCAUGCCCAAGCUCUACCUACUGUCGUCACUACUGUAGCUGCUCCACGCUCAGCGACCCCUGCGCCGCGCGUGUGCCCAUGGCGACGGAGGUGACCCUGCGCCGCUUCGACCUCUCGGACGUGGACGCCAUGAUGGCAUGGGCGUCCGACCCCGAGGUCGCCGCCUUCUGCCGCUGGGCGCCCUUCGCGUCCACGGAGACGGAAGCCCUGCUCGCCCACAUCCGGGACACCGCGCUCUCGCACCAGUGGUACCGCGCCAUCUGCCUCGCCGGCGACGCUCGCCCCGUCGGCUCGGUGUCCCUGGAGCCCACGGCUGACCCGUGCCGCGGGGAGCUCGGCUACGUGGUGGCCCGCGCGCACUGGGGCAGGGGCGUGGCCACCGCCGCCGUGAGGGCCGCGCUCGCCGCGGUGUUCGGCGAGGUGGAGGGGCUGGCGCGCGUGGAGGCGCUGGUGGACGUGGACAACGCGGCGUCGCAGCGCGUGGCGGAGAAGGCCGGGUUCCGCCGCGAGGGCGUCCUGCGGCGCCACUACUGGCACAAGGGCCGCGUCAGGGAUCUCGUCGUCUACGGCUUCGUCUCCGGCGACCCCUUGCCCCCAUCACAUGAGGAUGAGGUAUGUAAGCCACUCACUCGCCUUGGCCUCGUGCGUCCAGCGUCUCACUCUGUCCAACGAACUAGGCUCGGAGAUCGAUGGAGCGAGAAGCGGCAGCCCGGACGCCGGAGCGCGCGGACGAGGUGACCCUCCGGCCGUUCGACCUCGCCGACGCCAUGACGGCGUGGGCGGAACACCCCGUACUGGUACCGCCUACGGCCUCCAUGGCGUCGGGGGUCUACUUCUCCCCGCCCCGCGACGCCCUGCUCGCGUUCCUCCGGGGCACCGACCCUCCGCACACCUGGAUCCGCGCAGUCUGCCUCGGCGGCGCCAUCGUGGGCGCGGUGACCGUGUCGCGCACAGAGGACCGGUGCCGCGCGGAGGUCGGAACCGCGCUGGCGCGCGCGCACCGGGGCACGGGCGUGGCCGCGGCGGCCCUGAGGCGCGCGGCGACCGCGGCGUUGGGGGACCUGGAGGGCGUGGAGCGCGUGGAGGCGCUGGUGGACGCGGACGACGCCGCGUCCCGGCGCGCGGUGGAGGACGCCGGGUUCCGCCGCGAGGCCGUGCUGCGGAGCCACCGCGACGCCAAGGACGUGGUCGUCUACAGCCUCAUCUCCACAGACGACGACCCACUCAUCGGCUUACGCAGUUCAUGACGUCGUUGGCUUGUUGCCUUGCCAUGCGAUGCUAAUAAAAUUGACUCACGCAUCAUCAACACGAUCAAAUGUUACCAAGAAAAGAAACCGAAUUACAUUGCUGUGUUUCACUCUCAGCCGCGGAUUACAAGAAGGUGGUGCUGCUACUGUUCUGUCAGUCUCCAAGAGAUCGGAGCUUAUGUAUGAGAGAACACACGGGCUCGAUUAUUGAACUUUUUUGUUGAGUUGCGACUUCGACGGGAUCCCCAUGGAGACGGCGAGAGAGCACGGGCAUUGCAGGAUGCCGGCCGGCGAGCGAUCAGGCCUCCCAGCCGCGGAGGACGGUGGCGCGGGCGACGCGGUUGACGCCGAGGGUGAAGGCGCCCAUGCGGAGGUCGCAGUGGUGGGAGCGGCACAUCUCCUUGGUGUCCCGGAAGGCGCGGGUCAUGUACGUCUUGAGCUCCCGGUUCACCUUCUCCUCGUCCCACAUGAACCCCUGGAUGUUCUGCACCCACUCGAAGUAGCUCACCGUCACCCCGCCGGAGUUGGCCAGGAUGUCCGGCAGGAUCAGCACCCCCUUCUUCGCCAGAAUCUGCACCACGAACAUGUGCAUUUCUCCACUGUCAGUCAGUGUGUGAACUGAAUUAUGUCAACAAAUGCGAGCUUUGUUUUGUGGCAAAAUUUUGGGUGUUCUUGCCUCGUCGGCCUCGGGGUCUGUCGGGUGGUUCGCAGCCUCGAUGAUGUACUUUGCUUUGAUGGCAUCAGCAUUGUCCCUAGGAGAAGAAGAAAAUCAUGGUCAAGAACAGCCUUUUUGUUAACAAAAAUGUUUUCAGAUACUGAAAAAAAUAACAGCCAGGAGGAUACUAGUAUAACUGAACUUCGGAGGAGUAAUCUGAUAGAAGGUAGGAUGAAGUGAGCUGGGACGAGGAGAAAGGAGAAGAUUACUUGUUUAUGACUCCUCCCAGUGCUGCCGGGAUGAGGACGUCGCACUCUUCCGUGAGCAGCGAGGUUGGGUCGACGGCGUCUCCUCCGUCAAAGCCCUUGAUCCCGCGGUUCUCCGCCGAGUGCUUCAUCAGCUUGGCUAUGUCAAUGCCAUUGGAGUUCUUGACGGCCCCUGUGACAUCGCUGAUGGCGAUCACCUUGCCUCCAGCUUCAGUGAUCAGUUGAGCAGCCCAGGAGCCAACAUUACCAAACCCCUGAAAAAGGCAAGCGGCCAAUAAUUGCUUAUCUCUGCAAAAUGUAGGUGAAGAAACAUAGUUCUGAUCUUACUUUCUUUUUAGUAAGAAAAGUUCUGGUCUUACUCCCUUUUGUAACCAUAAAGUACAAAAGUGCGUAUUGUGCGAUCCACUGACGGCCACUUUUUAACUAGUACAUAUUUCUUAAAUCUAUGUUUGUAAUAAUAGAUUGAGGCUUCAUGACUCACACCACACUGAAUCCUCAGUUCAAUUACUUUUCAUCAUUUUAAAUUCAAAGAGCUUAACUCAUUAGCCUACACAUUAUUUAAUUACCUGGAUUACAAAACGCUGGCCUGCAAUGCCUUUGCCAUGCUCUGCAAGUAGGGCUUCAGUGGCAAACAGAACUCCCCUUCCAGUAGCUGCAUCUCUUCCCAGUGAUCCUCCAAGGUCCUGCGUUGAGCAAAAAAGUUCAGGAACAUGCGAAGAGGGAUAACUAGAAACCAGAUUUCUCUGGACAUUCAAAUCCUGGUGCUCCCACUUUUCAUCUGCAAACAACAUUUCCGUUGCACAUUACAUGAUAGAGUUUCAGGAUGAAUACUUACCACAGGCUUUCCUGUCACCACAGCAGGUGAGUAGCCAUGGAACUUUGAGUACUCAUCCAGUAUCCAUGCCAUUGUCUGAAAGCCAUGAAUGAAACAAGCAAAAGAAUCCACAUCAGAAUACAGAUGAAUAAUUCUCACAACACUCUGCAGAGAAAUAAUAAAUAUGCAAUGGACAAUAAAUACCUGUGCGUUGGUGCCCAUAUCGGGAGCUGGAACAUCGGUGUGGAUGCCAAUUAAGUCGUGAAUUUUCUGGGUGAAAACUCGGGUAAGCCGCUCGAGCUCCGAUAUGCUCAGGUCUCCAGGACUGCAUCCGAUGCCACCUUUAGCGCCUCCAUACGGAAUAUUGGCCACGGCUGUUUUCCAUGUCAUCAGUUGCGCCAAGGCAUUGACCUCGUCAGGAUCAACCUGAAUUUUUAUCAUAGCUUGUCAGUGCAAGAACUUACUACGAUCAUGGUUGCCAGUGUCUUGAACUUGCAUGCACAUGAUCGAAUUUUAUGGAAACCAAGUCAGAAUGUGAUCCAGUGUAGUAGCUUUAGUGAGAUGUGACUAAUUUCCAAAAUAGCUUUGUUCUGCUUUACUGCAAGUAGACAUUGCAAUUGCAUAGCUAGGUAUGGGCUGAACAAUAAGUCAUUCAACUAUCUGACAGGUUCCUGAAGGAGAUCGAAUUUAUGCUGAAGGACCAUUUCAAGUCGGCGACAGUGCGGCAAGAAUCAAGUGCUUAAUGGCUGGUUGUGUCAUGAUGAACAGAAGAACCCAGGAAUAUAUAUACUUAUGUGUGCUCAGUUGCUCACCUCAUGGUGGUAUCUGAUUCCACCCUUCAUAGGGCCCCUGGCAUUGUCAUGCUGCACCCUAAACCCAACAUAGGAUGCUAAUGUCCCAUCAUCUUUCGGAAUUGUGCACUCAACCUGCAACCACAAGCUUCAUUGUUAUACUGAAUAAUGGAACAAACAGUUCACCUCACAUAGACAGGACACAUGCUCAUAAAUUAGAAGGGUCCUGGACACAGUUUAACCUUACAGAGUAAGUGGCCAAGAGGCCAGUUCAACAACUUUUUUGCCAUAUUCAGCAGGAAAAACAGAAUAAAUUAACAUGGAUACGGGCUACGGCAAGCAAGAGAGUGUGAAAGAAAAUCAAGUGAAGUCUCUCGCAAAAAAAAAAAAAAUCAAGUGAAGUAGUAGGUUGGAAAAUGUCAAAUCCGAAGAUAAUCUGGUAGCCUAACCAGAAACUCAUAAAUUUACAGACCAGAUAAGAAAUAAUCGCAGGUCAACUACCAUAAGUCCCCAAGGACCAAGGUGAUACUACUUCUCAAUAACCACUGAACUCCAUAGAACAAAGAGCGUAAAUCGCUAUCCAGAUUCACUCAUUCACAGCAAAAUAUGUAUAAUCCGGGAUCAAGGAAUAAUCACCUUGAUCUCCCUGAAGGGGAUGAGCAGGCUCUUCUCGAGCUUGGAGUCGAGGCCCAGCAGCUUGGCCGCCUGCUUGAAGUUCCGGCUGGUGGCCGCCAAUGCGUUCAUCCUGCUCGACGAAAUUCCCCCUCCGGAGCCGCCGCGCCUGAAAAAGAGAUCGAGAACCCAACAUCAUCAGUAAAAUCCGAGAAACCAAAUCACACGAGACAAAAAGAUUAAACUCUGCGCGAGGAACCAGAGGAUAAUCUGCUUUUAUAUUACCGACGAGCAGAGUAGCGGCGAAGUGUUGUUAGUGGCGAGAGCAGGGGGGAGGCAGCGGCACAAAGACUAUGGAGGAGUUUCAGGUAGGCCGUAUGCAUAUGUAGGCACACUGAACCCCUCGGUGGAUUUGGGUUCCGUUCAAAAAGCAGAGGAGAUUUUUUUUUUCUUUUUAAUUUUAAUUUGUUUUUGUUUUUUUUGUCUCUACCAGGAUAAGAACAAGAUCUGGUUCUCGGCCUGCCUGCAAUUAAUUUCCCUGGAAACCCGAGCCCUGUCUGUAAUCAAUACCGUAAUUAACUAUUCCUAGCCUACUAGUACCAGAUUGAAGAGCGUCAAUCUAUGCCAUGGAAUCGACCAUCUACACUUUUAUUUAGUUUAGAGGUGCUAUCUAUACGUGCUAGUAGGAGCUUACUAACAUCUACAGUACAAAAAUAACACUGUUCUAGGGCCAACAUCUGAAUGAAGAUUCAGACUGCCGACAGCUGCGCUUGUUUUGCUGAGAAAAUGCCCAGAAUUUGAGCCGCAAGCCAGUGGAAGGGGUGUUCAAGGAAGCCUCUGCAUGUGGCAAUUUCAGAUUGCUCAAAUCGGUUGUAUGUAUGCACUGUACUGAGGUGUGCAUGUACGGGCUUGUACAGCUUGCGCCAGGCAAACUGCUGAUACGCUGACGGUGCUGAGCAUCCAUGCACGUGUAACAUGUGAUCCCUGACACUUCAUGCUUACAAUACAUGUCUGUCAAACAGUCAAGUAUUCCCUCCGUAAACUAAUAUAAGAGUAUUUAGAUCACUAUUUUAGUGAUCUAAACGCUCUUAUAUUAGUUUACAGAAGGAGUACGUACUAAAUAUAAGGCUUCUUAGAGAUUUUAUAAUAGGGACUAUAUACAGAUGUAUAUAGACAUGUUUUGGAGUGUAGAUUCACUCAUUUUACUCAGUAUGUAGUCUGUACCAAAAUCUCUAAAAAGCUUAUAUUUAGAAAUGGAGGGAGUAGUACUUAAUUACAGCUACAGUUAGAGCUCAACAACUUGGUCUAGCAGUUGAGUGAUACUACUACUGUAGAAAUCAGUUGUCUGUACUUUGGCCGCCUGUAAGAGAUGGAAAUUUCAGAAGCAACUUGGCGAAAAAGCACAUGGCUGACUCAGCUGCGAUGCUCCGUGGAAUUAUUUGGCUAACCAUGCAGUCUUGCACUGUUUUGCAUAGCGCAAUCUAAAUAAUUGGACACAAAGACACGUGUAUCCCAUGGGUCAGGGGGUUGUUGGCAAACUCGGAUUAAGGCUAGCUGAUGGUCUGCCUAGGAUGUGUGAAGCAUAUGCCAUAUGCCGUAUGUUAUUUAUUUAUUUGAUUGACAACACAUAUGCCAUAUUUUGUUUGUGUCAUAUGGUGACAAGAAAUAUAUCAUAUGUCAUGGACAGGGCUGGUAUGAUAAUUAAACGAACCUAUUAGUAUGGCUAAUGCCAACUUUGGCUCAAGAUAAGAGGGCAUAAGUUCCAGGAAGAUGCAUUCGCCGAAAAGUAGGGGCAGAUUGGGGGAGCAGGACAAUCCCAGAACGGGCAGCAAAAUCAUGUGGAGAAGAAGAAGAAGCAAUAGGGAUCGAAAAGUGGUUUAGCUGCUUUUAGAUGCAUGGAUUCCAGAUUAUGCAAGGCCUGCAUUAUUUGUCCUGUUUUAUGCUAUCUCUUUUUUAAUGCCCCAAAAUGAAUGACAAAACAAUCGCCCCACUAUCAGUGCAGAUAAUGAUAAUUAAGGUGAUGCUUUCAAAUCAGAGGAUGAUGAAGGCAAAUAUUCUCAAAUCAGAGGAUAAUGAAGGCAAAUAUUCUCAUAAUCAGAUCCCGGAUUAGGUAGCCGUAGAUGAACAAGCCCAAUCAAAGCUGCAUAAUACUAGUACUAGUACAGAGUUCAGAGCUUGGAUAAACCAUCAGUAACUCAUUGAUCUUUCUCUGGCCAUGUGAUCACUGCUAACACUAGCACACUACCAUGUAAAGGAAACACAAAGGGAGAGAGGGUAUUACUUUCUUGCAGCACCUGAUCAGGAUGAGUGAAUCCUAGCGGCUGAGGGGUUUCACCCGUGCUGCCCGCUCUGUUGUGGCAUUCAGGCAGAGGGUUACAAGGGGUUUUAUAGGGAGAAACCGGCUGGGAAUGAUACACGGAAUUAGUUCGGAGAUAUGGGGGAAUAAACGAGGAUCGUAUAUUUCUCCAAGGACUUUGGACGAUUCCAUGUGCUUGGGUUGAGUUGGCCGGGUUGCAUUGCAUCGAAUUCCAUUUCAUUGCUAUUCGAGGGCCAAAUGGGCAGAGGGUCCACGCCCCGAAUUCUCAGUCUAGUCAGAAUGGAGCUAUAGAGAUUAUGUUCGCAAACUGGUAACUAUGCUCGGUUGGUUAGGUAUCCUGUGCUAGAAUACACCCAUCUGGAUUUAAGUCAUAUACUUGCACUCUCAGACGAGUGCUCGUGUUUUUCUGAAUUUAUUCCACAAUUUUUUUCGCUAUUUUCUAGUGGAAGACGUCUUGCGCCUUGACUAUGAGGUGCCUAUGAUGAGAUUUACCGGUUUGGUCUCUUGGAGAAGAGUGCUCGUAUUUUCAUGAAUUUAUUUUGUAAUUUUCGGCGCUAUUCCUUAGUGGGAUACGUUGUGCACCUCGAGUACGAGGUGCCUAUGAUGAGAUUUGCCGACUCAGACAUGCUUGUAGGGUCAAAGUGUGUGCGCAUGCCUUUUUGGGAGUGCACUUGUGUGUGAGCAUUUGUAUUUCCAUAGAAAGACUGUGUGUGUGAAAGAGAGAGAGAAUAUGUAGUAAGUUCUUCGGAAAUAAGCGUAUUUCAGACGCACCUCAUCCACCUUGCCUUCACAAUAAUGCGUCAAGCGAUGAUUAUGACAAAUCUGGUCCAGAAGAUAUCCUCAGGGAGAGAGAGCAAAUCAUCAAAUGCAGAGCAACCGAAAGCUCCAUGUCAUGAAUUAUGACGAGAGACGCAUCCUCUUGCAUCACCGGUGGAAAACCGCGGAAUAUGGAACCAAUCGCAGGAUGCGCCGCGCAAAUUGGCGCAAUUGGAGUCCAGCGACAUGGCCACCGCCUCUUCCCAAUUGCUUUAGAAUUCUUUCCUCGUAGAUGGAUGGAUGGAUGACUUGUGUUUGUUUCGUGGACAAUGCAUAGAUUACUACUAGACCUUUACUGCCGUGUCAUGGAUGUAGCAUCAUGCUGCAUUAGGCCAAAAAAGCACGCCCAAAAGGGAGGUUCUCUCAGCAGAAAAGUGUAUGUGUUUCGUGUGUGGAGAUUCCAGCCUUUGUAUGCACCAACUUGUGAUGAGUCUUCAGUGUCACUCAUAAGUCUCCUUUCAGGGUUCAUGUUAUUUUUUCCAAGAAUAUUUUAAAAGCUUUGUUUUGGGGAGUGCUAACUGGGAAGGAAGCUAUCUAGGGAUUUCUGGAUUUCAAAGGAAUUUGAGAGAACAGUAAAAUUCCUUGUACAUGUUGCAAGAAAAGGAAUGAUGAUUUCUUUGGAAGAGGAGAAUUUCGGAGAUCGUUUCGUUUCCCGUAGGAAGAGGAAAUGUUCCCACGUGUCAACCGGGGAUUAAAUCGAGAUUCAAAUUAGUUUCAACAUCAUUAUAGAAAGAUAUUUUCAUAUUGGAGACUGAUACUUUUAAACUUUAAUAUAGCUGUGUGCAUCGUAAUGAUGCAGAGGCGGGGUGAUCCUUCUUUUUCUAAAGACAUUUCAGAGAAAGAAUAUUUAAAUGUUGGGUUUGUCUAGGACACAUCUAGAUGUGUCAUAGUUAUUGCACAUCUAAGUGACACAAUCAAGUAUGGAAAGAAAAAAGAAAAGAUAAAAAUAAAUACCCACACGAAUCUCCGUGUAAGAUCAAUGACGUAAGACUUAGAUGUGCAAUACUUAUGGUACAUCUAGAUGUGCUUUAGCAAAACUGUUAAAUGUUAUAUGGAUUUUUUUUUGAGAAAUAUCAUGUGGCUGUUUUUCCCUGUGCGAAUUACUGCAAAUUCCUCAUGUAACAUCUUUUGGGAUUAACUACUUUGUUUGCAGUUAUUUACAUAAAACUGCACCUGUUAUUCUUGUGCAGUUCAUUGAUUUUCAUUUUUCUGAGACCCAGAGAAGGCCUGAACUUCAUGCACAAUAGGUGGAUGGACUUGCGUGCUGGAGUCAAUGCCUACCAUUCGGUGUAAAGGGAAAAGGCAGACAGUCAUUUCCCAAUCUGAAUGUUGAUUAGGACUACCACUUACAAGAAAAUAAAUAAAUCCUGACCAUAGCACCGUUCUGUUAGAUCUAUUUUCGAGUCAUCGUGUUAGUGGUGCUAAUUUUAAUUUAAAACUUAAGACAGCCCACUUGAGCUACAGCAAAGAGGCCGAAAUGAUAGUCAAAGUUGAAGAAGAGAAUGUGACACCUCGAGUUUGCAAGAGCGCGUGACCUCUCGAGUACGCAAUAAGCACAAAGAUGAAGAUGUUAAGACAGUGGGUUGGUUUGAGUUAGGGCAUCUCCAACGCUAUUCGCUAAAGCCAACACACUAUUCAUCCGGGGUCCAUUCGUGGAUCACAUACGGAUGGAUCCACGGACAGGACACGGGAGCCGGUCAUUCAACUUUGUCCCUCAAAUAAGCAUCAGAUCCGAAUAGCAGAAUUGGGCCAAGCGGACCUGGACGACAAAGCACAUGGAUCGUGAUGACAUAUGGUCCAACUGACAGUGGGUCAAGCAGACCUCUACAUGCUGCCUGGACAACCGUAAAUCAAUUAUUUGUUUGCUGCCAUGAUACUAGAAUUCAGACAUCUAGAUUGGUUUGUGGACAUAUACGGGUCCCCAUUUGAUGACAAAAGUGAACAAAAUUGGUCCAGACACCAUAAUCUGGAUAUUUACGAGAGUUUUGAGGGCACAUGCUUUCGAGAUGCCCUUAGCCCUAAGGGUUCUCAAAAGAAUCGGGAAACCAAACACACUACGUUUCCUGACUGAUAUGCACACAACACUUGAAUCAAACGGGGUAGGAGUGUUGGCCAUUGUGUGGUGGCCGCAGCAUGCCGACUAUAAAUCCGCAGUAGUAUUUUCGCAUAGAUAGCAAGAUUAUAAAAUAAAGUAGAAUAGAAACAGACGCAAACGGAUCUUUGCUUCCGAACAAAACCCUGCCAUCAAAUAGGUUGUCCCAGGAGCACCAUAUUCUAGGAGCCCAAGUUAUGCCAAAUGUUGCGCUCAGGCAUUACUCAAUAGAGGUGCAAGGCAUGCCCAGACAACCACAAUAUGAACAAAUUGUUGUGAUUUAUGUUCAUCAUGGAGCGAACUAAUUGAAUUGUAAAUUCAAAACGUAUUUAGUCAAGUGUAAAAACGAUGCAGCCAGGCCAUGUUCCAGGAAUUAUCCACUAUCUUACGUUCUACAGGUUCUUCAGUCUGUAGGCUCCGGAAGUCAGCACUUUGUGGAUGGCAAAGGGAUCUUCCCAAGGGUGAUGAGAGCUUGUGCAUCCUCUCCUUCUGAAUCAGGCAGAGCACAAGGUCGCCGACCUAGUGCUCGUAUAUUUUACUGGUAGAUGGGAUGAGAGAUACAAAGAAACAACUGUGUGUUUCGCAAUACUUCUAGUUGGAUGAAUGCUACGGACCUAGUCACAAAGAUCUUUGAGGAGCUACAGUUGUGGACCCUAGCAGGAAGAAGAGGAGUCAACGUGUGGUGUGAGUAGUAGCGUGAGGUAGUAGGAGUAGGAGUAGAGUGUCAUUUUGCCUUAGCCGAUCUGUGGCUUUGAGGCCUCAAGUUCUUGUAAAUACUCUUUCCAUCUUCUAUAAAGGUACGGUACGUAUUUUGCAUACUCUAAAAAAAAGGCAUCCUUUUUAGAGAAUUUAAUCUGCUCUAAAACAGAGUAUACGCCUGUGACUGUGAGCCCAGUUGAGCUUUUGAGCUUUUUUUUACUGAAGGCUGAAAUCUUCAGGAGUACCAAGGGGCAUUAGAGAACGGAGGGCACCUAGAUUGAUCUGAAAGACUAGUUUGAAGCUGCCCAUUAGUCUCUUCUCACAAAACUGUUCAUGACAAUUCAAUGUGACAUAUCAACAGAGUCCAGGUCCAAGCAAUCAAUGUGUUUGUUUAGCAACCAAUACAUUGCAUCACCGGCCAAGAUCUUCUAUACACUACAAAAAGGUGCUACUACCAGGAAAAGAACAGUGCACCGAGACAAACCACAUAGUAGAUACUAAUCAUCCACAUACAUAUUAAUCACCAGCCAGGUCCAAUGGAAGUAAUCUGUGUCAGAUUCCAAGUAUUCUCAGCACCCUUCAAAGGAAGUAAGACAGGGAUAACUGUAUCUUUACUUGUGAUCUCAUCAUCCACAUACAUACUAAUCAGUUUGAGUUUCAAAAAAAGUAAAAUUUGUCAAACCUAUCAGAUUCAUAUAUCAAACAAGAAAGAACUGCCAUGGUCGCCAAGAAUUAGAUCUAUAAAACAGAAAGAAAAAAUAACAUAAAGGACACGUUUCCAGGAUAUAAGCUGGCACAAAGAACGCCACCAAUCAGGACAUACCACACGUAAGAGAAUAGCUGUAGCGUCCGAGACUAAUUACUGCGAGGAACACAAGUCAUCCUCAGGAAUUGGUAACGAACGCGCAUCAAACCAAGAAACAAACAGUAAGAAACAUACAGACUACUCCACAGAUAAAUCAUCAAUUUGGGGGAGCUCAGACAGCCAAGGGGUCGUCCGCAGAUGCCACUGAAGAGGAGGCAUCAGAAACUCUAGUCCACAAAUUUGUCAUCACCACUACAACAUCAUGGACCAUCAAAACUAAAAAUAAGAAACAAACCAAAUCGAGAUUCAUCAAGAAUCAAAAGAGCGNNNNNNNNNNNNNNNNNNNNNNNNNNNNNNNNNNNNNNNNNNNNNNNNNNNNNNNNNNNNNNNNNNNNNNNNNNNNNNNNNNNNNNNNNNNNNNNNNNNNNNNNNNNNNNNNNNNNNNNNNNNNNNNNNNNNNNNNNNNNNNNNNNNNNNNNNNNNNNNNNNNNNNNNNNNNNNNNNNNNNNNNNNNNNNNNNNNNNNNNNNNNNNNNNNNNNNNNNNNNNNNNNNNNNNNNNNNNNNNNNNNNNNNNNNNNNNNNNNNNNNNNNNNNNNNNNNNNNNNNNNNNNNNNNNNNNNNNNNNNNNNNNNNNNNNNNNNNNNNNNNNNNNNNNNNNNNNNNNNNNNNNNNNNNNNNNNNNNNNNNNNNNNNNNNNNNNNNNNNNNNNNNNNNNNNNNNNNNNNNNNNNNNNNNNNNNNNNNNNNUUGCUGUUUGGAAAAGAAAAAAAUGACAUCACAUUGCUGUUUGGAAUUUGUAGGCGGCAUUGGUGGGGAUUUAUAUAAAAAAAUUGAAGGUGGGGAUUUUUCUAGGGUUUUCCUCUUCUCUUUGCGGGUGCAGAUGGGGCAGGCCGACGCAUCCACCUGCGUGAGAGGCAGACAAGGCCACAAGUAGACGCACUUUAUUUCCUAUUUGCCACCUUUAGCGGCGCAUCCGUAGGGAGCUAUAUCUCGCUUAUAGUGAGAUUUUUUAGCAAAGGUAGCAGGCCUUAUUGAACAUCAAGAAUGUUACAGGUAUUAUGAGCGUAUCAUGCAGAUUGCCUAACCAAAUAUGCCUUCCCUGAUACCCAAAAAGAUGAGGAGAGUUCUGUUAAAAGCUAUGCAAUGAUUAACAGAGUUUCUGCUGCAACAUCUACGCCAGCGCCAAUGCUCUGAAUCUGAAAGUUCUGUUUAAUGAUCGCUUCAUCCACCAAAUGAAUGUAGGAGUAGGCAACAAAUUCAGAAGCAAAACCAAAACCUCAAGAAAGAAAAACAUAGCCUAGGGGAAGAUAUGCACAUUUCUUACAUUAAUAAAUGUGCCAGAAGACAGGUAACACGACGCAGUUUGGUAAUGCGUCGUGCUGUUUAAUGCUGGCCAGUGUUUCCGAUUAAUCUAUGCUUCCCUCUACAGGAUGACCAAACUGUUAACAGGAACAAACACAUAACAUUUUCCAUUGAAGCAUUGUUUUUGGGCAGGGAUAAGAUAUAACUAAGUAUUUCCUCAGUUCAGGUCUCCAAAUUGCUUCCACACCACGCCAUGAGGUAGCGCAUCAGAAGAACGAAAGUAUUUAGUUUGAUCAUCAUUGGACAGUUUUCAACAUCAGAAAACAUGAGAUAAACAACAAAAACCAUUAUUUGGGGCGGGAAGAAGAUAAAAUGAAGUACUUCCUCAGUUCAGGUCUGAAAAUUGCUUCCGCACUGUACCAUGAGAUAGCACAUCAGAAGAACGAAAGUAAUUGGUUUCAUCAUCAGACAGUUUUCAACAUCAGAAAACACAAGAUAGACAACAAAAAACCAUUGAUUUGGGGCAGGAAGAAUUUAAAUUUAAGUAUUUCCCCAAUUCAGGUCUCCAAAUUGCUUCCGCACCGCGUCAUGAGAUAGCGCAUCAGAAGAGCGAAAGUAUUUAGUUUGAUCAUCAUCAGACAGUUUUCAACAUCAGAAAAAAUCAGAUAAACAACAAAAACCAUUGUUUUGGGCCGGGAAGAAGAUAGAAUUAAGUGUUUCCUCAGUUCAUAUCUCCAAAUUGCUUCCACACUGUGCCAUGACAAUAAUAAGAAGUAACUUUCUGAGGGCACCCUCAGAACAUUUGCAUAAUUGUAUCACAGUAUUUUUCUUAGGAUAUUUGUCCAGCCAUCAGGAGGCAAAAACAGGAACAAAAUGGCAACUAGAAAACAAAUAAAUAACAAUAUGAGGUAUGUCAUUGCUUCUGAUCGCUCUAGGUGAUAAUAUAUAUCUCAUCAACACAUGAAUCAGACAACUAUAUUUUACGAACACAGGUGAGCACCACUCACCAGGAUCCAAGAACAACAAUCUGCGGUCCAGAAACAGACUAGGAAAGAAGAAUCAAACUGCAGUAUCCUCAGUUCAGGUCACCAACUCUUCCAUAUUCAAGAUUUUCGGAACAAGGAACGUACCAUUGUGAUUGAUGGUUGAGCUGUCAGACAAUGCUUUCUAGGCAAACGCACUCAAUCAAGCAGAAGUGAAGAAAGAGGAUAAAGGAAUAAUAGAAGAUCAAAUCAGUAUCCCUCAGGUAAUAUGCUUAUGUUUUUCAUCAACAGAGAAAACUCAGGUCUCAAAGAUGUGCCAUCACUGGACUUACAGAACUGAACCGAAUAGAAAAGGAUAAAUUAAAAUCAGGCAAUUUUGGAGAAUGUUAUUCGCUGGGGAAGCAACUAUCCCCAAAAGUCUAAAACCCAAAAUGGGGCGUGGCCAAGUGGUAAGGCAGCUGGUUUUGGUCCCGUUACUCGGAGGUUGGAAUCCUUCCAUCCCAGAUUGUUUCUGAUGAAACAAACAGUGAAAUCAUACUUGUAGCUAAGAGAACAAUGCUUUCAUCUGUUAAAACCUCAGAAAACUGCAUAAAUUUUCGCCACUUAAAAAUCUGACAGUAAUUCCAACAUGUAGCUAAUCAUCAUGGGCAUAACCCUGUACUUAUCCAGUUGGGCUUCUCUUGGCUGAAGGCUGAAAUCUUCACUUAACUAGGAGUACCGAGGGCAUUGGAGAACUGAAGGCAACUAGACUGAUCCGAAAGACUAGGUCAAAGCUGCUCAUCAGUCUCCUCUCACAAAACUGUUCGUGACAAUUCAAUGUGUUUGUUCAGCAAAAAAUGCAUUGCAUCACCGGCCAAAAUCUUCUACACAGGUACUACUAGAAAAAUAACAGUGCACAGAGAUUCAAAGUAUUCUCAGCAUAUGUACAUACUAGGAGUAAUCUGUGUCAGAUUCAAAGUAUUCUCAGCACCCUUUCGAGGAAGUAAGACAGGGAUAACUGCAUUUUUUACUUGUGAUUGAUGGCAGAUUGUAUGACGAGUCAGAAGUAGCUGGUUGAAGAUCUCAUGUUUAUUACAAAUCAAUGGGAAUCCGAAUGAUUUUCUUCUUCAUACUCGCAAUCCAAGCCAAAUCAUGCUGCACAAGAUGAUGGAAGUAAUCGUGUCAGAUUAAAAGUACCUAAAAUCUUAAAAGUGCACGCGCACUGUUUCGCGACACCGAGCGGCGGCGCUACGCGACAGCGGACAGCGACCUCACACGCUCAGUCCAUCUCUCCACUAAAAGAAAAAAGGAAAAUCUUCUCCACUCCCGAGCAGCACGACCUUCUUCCUCCACUAACCACCGCCGCUGUGCACCCCGCCUCCUCCGGUCCUCCCUCGCGCCGCCUCCUGACAACGCCAACUCGCCGUCGCGAUUGCCCAUCGCCACCCCAGCAGGCCUCGCAUCUUUCCCUCCAGGGCGCCACCAUGAGCCGCCGCAGGAAGCAAUCCCCAACCUCCGGCGCCGCCGCGACUCAUCUUCUGCGAUGGGCACACGCCGCUCCGCGGCUGCGCACAGCUGUGAAUCCUCGCACUUAGCCGUGAGGGCUCCAUCGCCUACUCAAGUGCCCAUCACAUGCAGGUAGUAUUCCCCUUCNNNNNNNNNNNNNNNNNNNNNNNNNNNNNNNNNNNNNNNNNNNNNNNNNNNNNNNNNNNNNNNNNNNNNNNNNNNNNNNNNNNNNNNNNNNNNNNNNNNNNNNNNNNNNNNNNNNNNNNNNNNNNNNNNNNNNNNNNNNNNNNNNNNNNNNNNNNNNNNNNNNNNNNNNNNNNNNNNNNNNNNNNNNNNNNNNNNNNNNNNNNNNNNNNNNNNNNNNNNNNNNNNNNNNNNNNNNNNNNNNNNNNNNNNNNNNNNNNNNNNNNNNNNNNNNNNNNNNNNNNNNNNNNNNNNNNNNNNNNGAGGAUUCAGCCGUGAACUUGUUUGGAUUUAUAGGAAUGAAUAUUGUUGGAUCUAAAUCUGGUUAAUACUCUGUCAUUUUCCUACUUCAUAAAUUUACUUUGGAAAGUUCAUAUAUUUAGUAGUCUGGACACGGGAAAUUUAAUUGCAAUGUUGAUUCAACUUGGGUUUUCUAUGGCAGCUGGAGUAGAAAAUACAAAUUUGUAGUGUAACAACUAUAGUCUAAUCUGCCGGAUAUUGAUGGGAGCAAUCAGAUUUUUGAUGUCUGUGCAGUUCAUCUACAUGUUAUUGACAAUUUUUAUUCAGACAUCUAAUUCACCUCCACAUAUGCUUGUCUAGUCUGCUACCUUACCCAAAUAGUACUAGUACUGAAAUAUUAACAACAUUUUCAUUCUCACAUAUUGUUAACUCAACCUCUUCUAGGUAUUUUUUCAGGAAAUGCAGUCAAAUUCAUGUACAGAUGCAUCACUUUUGUGAUCCUACUAGUCAAUCUCCGGUAUGAUGCUUGGAACGUUGAUGAUUGGAGUGUUGAUCUAUACAGGAGUUUCGGCAUCUUUCUCAAGGAGCUACGUCGACUAGGAUGAGUGGUGGGUUUGUACGGCGGUUAGGAUUAUAGUGGUGGGUUUGAGUUGGAUUUUCACGGUGAGCUGUUCAGAUUUUGUCACUACUGGUAUGGUUCAUGAUCCUUAUUUGAUCCAUCUAUUCUUGCCUAGACUGCAAUUGUCUCGUUAAACAUGAUACUCUCUGUAGAGCUUCAUUACAUUAUUGACCUCUUUUUCUCGUAAAUGCAUCCGUGUGGUUUCUUUGUUUUCUCAUAAGUCGCAUGCAUAUAAGUAACCAGUUGGCUAGUUUGUUGUAAUAGUUGCACAUGAACGCAAAUGUAGUUGGAUGACACAUAUACAUGUCUCAGUUGGCUAGCCAACUUAUGAAGUUGCACAGUGAAGGCUAACCAGUUGCACAGUCGAUGGUAUUCUUCUGCAGCAGCCGCUGAGGUAACAUAAAAUUCCACCAGGGAUAUUUUUUACUCCACAUAUAGGCAACCAAGUGUAUUAAUUUUCAUACAUAGUUGCAGAAGGACUAAUUAAGCAUUGGCAUGCUGAACUUUCUCAGUUGCUCAACGUUGCAUCUUCAAGUUUUUUAGAAUUGUCCCAAGAGUAUGUAAUGACUUGGCAUCCUCAGACUUUCUAGUUGCAGAAUAGUAUCUAAUUAGUUGGCAACCUCAGUAAUUCUAGUUGCACAACAAUAUACAACUAGUUGACAUCCUCAGCUUCUCUAGUUGCACAAGAACUCAGAUUAGUCCCAUCUAAAAAAAUUGAGGAUUGCCCAACAGUAUCUAACGACUUGGCACCCUCAGGUUUUCUAGUUGCAGAAGAGUAUUUAUUUAGUUGGCACCCUCAGCAAUUCUAGUUGGACAACAGUAUCCAAGUAGUUGACAUCCUCAGCCUCUCUAGUUGCACAAGAAUUCAGAUUAAUCCCAUCUUAAAUUUUUUGAGGGAUUGCCCAACAGUAUCUAGUGACUUGGCACCCUCAAGUUUUCUAGUUGCAGAAGAGUAUCUAUUUAGUUGGCACCCUCUACGAUUCUAGUUGGACAACAUUAUCCAAGUAGUUGACAUCUUCAGCCUCUCUAGUUGCACAAGAAUUCAGAUUAAUCCCAUCUUAAUGUUAGGAUUAAUCUUGAUUAUGUAUCUGCGUUGUAUUUUCGUUUAGCAUGUAGUCUAGUGUAGGUUGAUGUUUGUCCCGUGAAGCUUCAGCUCAGCAUGCAGAGGAGGCGAGAUGUUGGGCUGCCGUGCGAUACGGCGAGCACGGCGAGAUGCCGAUGGCAGCGUGAGGCUGCAGUGCUACGCGAGGCAGCAUGGCCGUGUGAUGCGGCAAGUGCGUGAGAGGCUGGAGCGUGACGGGCUGCAUGAAGAGGUUGAACCGGGCGAUCCGGCAAGUCAUUAUCAGUUGUAUACAUGCUAGUUUGGUUCGGUCUAUGGCCGUUCAUGAGGCUGCCCAAGUACUGGCCGUGCAUGUAGUUCUGCAUGUUGAGGGGGUUAGAUGCAUAGUCGUUAGGAUCCUGCAGAGAUGCCUGGAGUAGGAUAAGGCCAGUUAGUGGGUGUGGUAGUGCAUGCAUGGAUUAGUUUGUUAAUGGCCGAGCAUGGCGGCCUGUUAGUUCGUGCGUGACUUAGUGGCCCGGCCAGGUUGUGCGUGAUGGCCAACAGUCUAUGUAUAUAUAUGUCACACUGAGCAAUGAGAAAAUAGAGGCCGUGAGGGCUCAAGAGAAAAGAUGUAGCACUUGUGGUUGCCAAGAAAGAGUACCUCUCGGCAAAGUUAGUUGUUUUUCUUCCUUGUUAUACAUGCGUGUGUGUGCAGUUUCACCAUGUGUGUGUGUGUUCUUGAGAGAAACCAUAGAAGAGAAGAAGAGAGGAACCCAAAUAGAGUUGUGGGAGGCAGCUCGAGGUAGAAGAAAAGCAGCGCUGCCAGAGGCGGCGCCAACACUUGAAAAAUUUGAGGAUUGCCCAAUAGUAUCUAAUGAUUGGCACCCUCAGGCUUUCUAGUUGCAGAAGAGUAUCUAUUUAGUUGGCACCCUCUGCAAUUCUAGUUGGACAACAUUAUCCAAGUAGUUGACAUCCUCAGCCUCUCUAAUUGCACAAAAAUAUCUCAUUAGUUGACAUCAUCAGCAUUUCUAGUCGCACAAGAAUAUCUCAUUAGUUAUCAUCACAAGUAUUUCUAGUUGCAGAACAAACAGGAUAUCAAGUUACCAUCCUCAACUUUUUAAUCUAGUUUUCCAGAGAACAAAUAUUUGUAUGUAAUGAUAACUAAUCACCUCUACCUUUUUUUUGCAAACCCCAAGAUAUUGUUCAAGGAAAUGAGAGUAAUGAAGCAAAUAAUGUUGAACGACGGUCACAAGCUGGCUACCUGAUGGAGACUGCCUGGUACGCCUCUCUCCUCCCUCUUCUUUACCACUUCCGUUCUUGCGUUCAUUGCUUUGCCAUUAUAGCUCUGUUUUGGAUCCAGGCUAGGACCCUUUCUUUCGUUGAAAAGAAGGAGCCCUGUGGAGAAGGAAGUGUGGGCGAGGGGUGCAUGGAGGCUUCGGGAGUUAGUGGGCUAUCAUGUGAUACCGAUUGGCCUUUGUUUUCUGAUUCUUCAUGGAUUUUAGGGGUCGGAACAAAGUUUCCUUUAUGGAAACAGUGGGGACAAAAAGUUACCUUUUCCGGCCGCUCGCGAGCGCUACCAGGCCAACGGCCGCUAGCCAGACGCAUCCUUAAAAGUAUUCUCAGCACCCUUCCGAGGAAGUAAGACAGGAAUAACUGUAUUUUUACUUGUGAUCUCAUCAUCCACAUCCAUAUUUAUCAGUUCGAAAAAACAAUAAAAAUCAAAUGCUCGUACAAUCUAUCACGGCCGGCACAUUUAGAUCCAGAAAGACAAAGAAAAAAAAAUAGAGGACGGCAUGUGAAUGUAUGUGGCGUUUCCAGGAUAAGCUGGCACAGAGGACGCCACCAAUCAGGAUAUACCACACAUUAGAGAAUCGCAUGUAGCGUCCGAGACUAAUUACCACGAGGAACAAAAAUCAUCCUCAGGAAUUGGUAAUGAAUGCGCACCAAAAAAUGUUGUUUUGGGAGGGAAGAUAUAAUGAAGCAUUUCCUCAGUUCAGGUCUCCAAAUUGAUUCCGCACCACACCACAAAAUAGCACAUCAGAAGAACGGAAGUAUUUAAAUUGAUCAUCAUCGGACAGUUUUCAACGUCAGAAAACAUGAGAUAAACAACAAAAUCAAUUGUUUCAGGGCGGGAACAAGAACAAAAAUAUUUAGUUCGAUCAUCUUCAGACGGUUUUCAACAUCAUAUACAGUCAUCAGGAGCCCAAAACAAGGACAAAAUAACAAAAAAUAAACACAAACGAACAAUAUCAGGUAUAUCGUUGCUUCCCUCUAGGUGAUAAUAUCUCAUCAACACAUGAAUCAGAUCACUUUAUUUUACCAGCACAGGUGAUCACAAGGAUGCAUGAACAACAAUCUGCAAUCCACAAACAGACUAGGAAAGAAAAAUUGAACUGCGGUAUCCUCAGCUCUUCCAUACUCAAGAUUUCCAGUAGUUAAGUAGAAUGGAGAUUGAUUGUUGAACGGUAAGAAGCAAAUGCACCUCCAUCAAGCAAAAGAAUAGUCAAUCAAGAGUGAAGAAAGAGGAUCAAGGAAUAACAGAAGGUCGAAUCAGUAGACCUCAGGGAUUAUGCUUAUGAUUUUCAUCAAGGAAGAAAAGUCAGGUCUCAAAGAUGUGGCAUCACUGGACUCGGGAACUUAACUGAAUAAAAAAGGGCCAACUAAAAGUCAUAAACAUAUAAUGAUAAGCAGGAGCAAUUUUGGAGAAUGUUAUUCGCUGCCCCUCACAAUUAAAAGUAGGGGAAGCGACUCAUCCCCAUAAAGUCUGCCCCUGGAAAAAAUCAAGCCCCACAGAUACAUAAAACAAAAGGAUCAACUAAUAAAGGGGGUCUUCAACAUAAUUUGUCCUCAGAAUUGCAGAAUGACAGCAUGGACGCAUAGCAACCAAUCAGUCCCGAAAGAUGGUAUGAUUUAACAGGUUUUUCAUCACCGGAACCAUAAACAAGGUCUAUAUAAGUCAAACCUAAAUUAUUUUAGGGUUGGAAGUCAGAAUUGCAUAUUUGACAACAUGGCAAACAAGAGCGCACCAAUCAGACUCAACAUCGUGACAAUAAUAAUAAUGACGGAAAUGUUGUAUUCAUAAACAAAAAUGCAAAAAUCUAAGCCUUUCAUUAGUUAAGCAGAUAAGCAACGACACCUAAUUAGGCCAACCUAUGUUAACAGUUCAGUGAACGAAUUACACCAACAAACCUGGCAAUAGACCGGGCACACCCAAAAAAAAAACAGGAUUCAAUUAGCCAACAAACCUGUAAUGCACAUAAAUGCAUAAGAAUAGACGAGCUCUUGCCAACCAUUGAAAUGACUAAAGCCCAUGGCAAAACAAACUCUCAAAGAGUUCAAGAAGGAAUUCAAGAUACAAUAUAUUAAAGGUUCCAGAACAAAGACAUUAUCUAGGGCAAAACAUCAUCCAAGGUAAUCGUCUAAACAAGAACACUCCUUAAGAUUCUGGAAAUGGACCAACACAGUAGUAGAAAAGCUAUGGGGGAUCGUUGUGAAGCAGCUUAUCGCUUCUUGGAGACACCAACAGUCUUUCCUCUCCUGCCGGUAGUCUUGGUGUGCUGACCACGGACACGCACGCCCCAGUAGUGACGCAGACCACGAUGGUUCCUGGAAAAGAGGAGGGUUUCAAGCAUAAGUGAUUACUCACGCAUCUAUGCACUAGGACAAGGCUACUGCAACAGUUUAGUCUAAAGGAAUCAGGCAUCACCAUACAUCUCUUGGAAACAAAGCAUUGCUAUACAGAACUACUGGGUCACAUACAAGGUACACCAGAAGGAUACAGAUGAAUAUGUACAAGUAAUAGACAGGCUAGUCCUAACAGAUUGACCAAACUGAACUUUUGUAACCAAAACUGCUACUUGCCUUUAUAACUUGAGAGCAGGGCUUCUCGUUAAUAAGAGUAAAUACAGACAUAUGACAUUGUAUUUUUGCAGAAAAGAAACAUUAAUUCCGAUCUACACAAGCUAACGCUGGACUAGGUUAGGCCUAUUUCACAGGAUAAACCACUACAGAAUGAAGCAGAUGAAGUCAGCACAUGCUACCAGAAAAACACUAUGCACAUCAAGAACAACAGAAUAAACGCGUUUCAGGCAUUCUAAUGUCCGAAGAUCUGCUUAGAGAAACCCACUAUGCCAAUCCCAAGACUAGACUGUAAAGUACUGGAUGAGAUAUCAACUACUGCAGCUACUAAAGCAUGUGCAAGAUGUUAGUUAACAGCAUCAUAACCAGUUGAACCUAGCGCAUAAUCAUCGAUCAACCA